CAGUAGCCGCGGUAACACAGAGGGUGCGAGCGUUAAUCGGAUUUACUGGGCGUAAAGCGUGCGUAGGCGGCUUCUUAAGUCGGAUGUGAAAUCCCUGAGCUUAACUUAGGAAUUGCAUUCGAUACUGGGAAGCUAGAGUAUGGGAGAGGAUGGUAGAAUUCCAGGUGUAGCGGUGAAAUGCGUAGAGAUCUGGAGGAAUACCGAUGGCGAAGGCAGCCAUCUGGCCUAAUACUGACUCUGAGGUACGAAAGCAUGGGGAGCAAACAGGAUUAGAUACCCCCGUAGUCCCUGUCUCUUAUAC
rnacentral:rRNA from 1 species